AGGGAUUUAGCUCAGCGGCAUAAGCGCCUGCCUUGCAAGCAGGCAGUCGUGAGUUCAAUCUCUG
rnacentral:tRNA from 1 species